UGUCAUUCUGCCAUGUCGUUCCCCCAUGUGAUUCCUUUCUUAGCUUUAUAUGGUAUCUCCAGAACAAUGUUAAAUGGUAGUGGACAGCCUUACCUUGUUUCUGAGGUUCGUUUCCCUGGUAAGAAGAAGCUGACUCUUGGAUCAAGAUGGCACAGGAUUAAAGAAAAAUAAGACUUGGCCCCUUCUCUCACAAAGGUUACUUCACUUAAAUAAACGAACAUUGCAAGAGCUAUGACAGAAGUCUGAACAGGGUGCAGUGGGGACACCAAGGAGAGGAAAAGAGAGUACAGAGAAGG